GUCUAUGGCCAUGCCACCCUGCACAAGCCCGAUGUCUGAUCCCGGAAGCUAAGCAGGGUCAGGCCUGGUUAGCACUUGGAUGGAAGACUACCUAGGAAGUCUAGGUGCUGUAGGCA
rnacentral:rRNA from 1 species